GUCUGUUUGAAGGUAUAAAAAGUUUAGCCUGCCCACUGAUAAUUUUAUUAAAGGGCCGCGGUAUUCUGACUGUGCAAAGGUAGCAUAAUCGUUAGUUUUUUAAUUGGAAUCUUGUAUGAAUGGUUUGACAAAAGAAAAUCUGUCUUUAUAAUUAUUUAUUGAAUUUAACUUUUAAGUGAAAAGGCUUAAAUAAAUUAAAAAGACGAUAAGACCCUAUAAAGCUUAAUAUUAAUUUUUUAUUUGAUCAAAUUUUUGAAUAUAUAAAGAUUUAGUAAAAAGAAUUUAUUUUGUUGGGGUGACAAUGGUAUAAUGAUUAUUAACUGUUAAUUUUUUUAGACAAAAAUAAGUGAAUAAAGAAUGGAAAUAAGUUAUUAUAAAGGAUCCUAUAUUAAAGAUUACGAGUUUAAGUUACUUUAGGGAUAACAGCGUUAUUUUUUUUGAGAGUUCUUAUCGAGAAAAAAGUUUGCGACCUCGAUGUUGAAUUAAAAUAUCUAUAUAAUUGUAGCAGUUAUAUAAGAAGGUCUGUUCGACCUUUAAAUUUUUACAUGAUUUGAGUUCAGACCGGCGUAAGCCAGGUCGGUUUCUAUCUUUUAAUAUUUAAAGAAUUAUUUUAGUACGAAAGGAUUAAAUAAUUAAAAUUAUUUUUAAAAUAUUUGGAUAAA
rnacentral:rRNA from 1 species